GGUUGGAGAGAGGCUAGUCCCCAGACAAAUGAUGCAUGGAAUUUGUAUCUGUGUGUUGCCAUGACGACGCUGAGCACAGAUUGCUCAAGAUUCAGCAGGGCUUGGCAAGGACCUUUAUGCUUCCCAGAGACCCACUGACAGAACAUAGAGGCAACUCCUCAUCUGCUUGGAGCAGUUAUAUAAGAUGUUUGCAGUCAGUACCUUAUCACAUUCCUAUGGACACUCAUGGCGUCAUCACUGCAUCUGAAACAGGCACUUCCAGCAGGCAAGUGAAAUCUUGGGUAGGUUGGACCUUGUCUGAGGGUGAAGAGUGAGUCCAACAAUCUGACUUGUCUAAUGCAUCUCUUUCCAGGGUCUCAACCAGACCGUUCUUAGUGGACAGAAUUGGAUCUGUGUUGCUUUGUGAAAACCUGGGCAUUCAGAACUGGAUAAGCUGGUGUUUUUAUCCAGAACAACGUCAGGUCCCAGUGUAUUAACAAAUCAAAGCUGACUGCACUCAGCACCUCUCAGGAAGACGCCAACUUACAGGAAACACCCUUGGAAAGGAUAUCAGUAUUACUGAGCCUCCUAUGAACUGGUAAUACUGGAACUUGCAAGAAGAUUAAGAAAAGUCAGUUUCUGUAUUUAAAAAUAAACCUGCU